CCUACGGGCAGCUGCAGUGGGGGAUAUUGCACAAUGGGGGAAACCCUGAUGCAGCGACGCCGCGUGAGUGAAGAAGUAUUUCGGUAUGUAAAGCUCUAUCAGCAGGGAAGAAAAUGACAGUACCUGACCAAGAAGCACCGGCUAACGACGUGCCAGCAGCCGCGGUAAUACGGAGGGGGCCAGCGUUAUCCGGAUUUACUGGGUGUGAAGGGAGCGUAGGCGGUUAGGUAAGUCUGGAGUGAAAGCCCGGGGCCCAACCCCGGGACUGCUUUGGAAACUGUGGAACUGGAGUAAAGGAGGGGCAGGCGGAAUGUCUGGUGUAGCGGUGAAAUGCGUAGAGAUCAGGAGGAACACCGACGGCGAAGGCGGCCUGCUGGACUGAAACUGACGUUGAGGCUCGAAAGCGUGGGGAGCAAACAGGAUUAGAUACCCCUGUAGUC
rnacentral:rRNA from 1 species